rnacentral:rRNA from 1 species
GACGAACGCUGGCGGCGUGCUUAACACAUGCAAGUCGAACGGUGAAGCGCCUUCCUUUUUGGUGGGUGUGGAUGAGUGGCGAACGGGUGAGUAACACGUGAGUAACCUGCCCCCUUCUUCUGGAUAACCGCAUGAAAGUGUGGCUAAUACGGGAUAUUCUGGGUCUGUCGCAUGAUGGGUCCGGGAAAGAUAUUGUUUCGGUGGGGGAUGGGCUCGCGGCCUAUCAGCUUGUUGGUGGGGUGACGGCCUACCAAGGCGGUGACGGGUAGCCGGCCUGAGAGGGUGGACGGUCACACUGGGACUGAGACACGGCCCAGACUCCUACGGGAGGCAGCAGUGGGGAAUAUUGCACAAUGGGCGCAAGCCUGAUGCAGCGACGCCGCGUGAGGGAUGGAGGCCUUCGGGUUGUGAACCUCUUUCGCCAGUGAAGCAGGCCUGCCUCGUUUGUGGGUGGGUUGACGGUAGCUGGAUAAGAAGCGCCGGCUAACUACGUG